AUCGAACGCUGGCGGCAUGCUUUACACAUGCAAGUCGAACGGUAACAGGCCGCAAGGUGCUGACGAGUGGCGAACGGGUGAGUAAUGCAUCGGAACGUGCCCAGUCGUGGGGGAUAACUACUCGAAAGAGUAGCUAAUACCGCAUACGAUCUAUGGAUGAAAGCGGGGGACCGUAAGGCCUCGCGCGAUUGGAGCGGCCGAUGUCAGAUUAGGUAGUUGGUGGGGUAAAGGCUCACCAAGCCAACGAUCUGUAGCUGGUCUGAGAGGACGACCAGCCACACUGGGACUGAGACACGGCCCAGACUCCUACGGGAGGCAGCAGUGGGGAAUUUUGGACAAUGGGCGCAAGCCUGAUCCAGCAAUGCCGCGUGCAGGAAGAAGGCCUUCGGGUUGUAAACUGCUUUUGUACGGAACGAAACGGCUCUGGUUAAUACCCGGGGCUAAUGACGGUACCGUAAGAAUAAGCACCGGCUAACUACGU
rnacentral:rRNA from 1 species